rnacentral:lncRNA from 1 species
UUGUUUAUUAUAUCACCAAAUAGAGAAACAAAAACAGCAUGAACCAAACUUGAGGUGCCCCAGAAAGAGGUGAAAAUGGUGCCUUAAUAAUACAUGUAAAGCGUACAAACCUGAAUGUAUGUCUAUGAUAGCUGUAUACGUAGAGUUGGUAAGAAAUAAAAAGAAAUAGGGUUAUUUUUAUGAUCUCACUAGACCUACAAUAUUUCUCAAAAUUUAAAAAUGUUAUACGAUAACAACGAACCCUCUUCCUUUUUUAUUUAAAAUAAAGUUAAGUACAAUUGUUUGUGCCGAAUGUAAGAAGUGCUAAGCAAUACACGUAGACAGACC